AACACUGUUUCGGUCUUACCAGUGUUUUCUGGACCUUCCUGUCCAGCUGAAUUGCUCAGAACAAGCAAAUAGUUAGGUCGGAGCCACAUUCCAGGCCAUUUAAGUCAGAAUCUCCAGGGGCUGGGUCCUGCCUGGCCUGGGAAGAGAAACUUCCCUGACUAUUCUGAUGUGCUGAGAGAGAAGCAAGCUGAAUCCAACCCACGGAGAUACCCAGGGUCAGUGGCUAUUUUUAGCCAUUGUUCUCCCCAGUGGGGUUAUCCUCAGAGAAUCCUUACUGCCCGGGCUCCCCUUUCAUAAGUUUCUCCGGGGUAUCUGCAUCUCCUCCCCCUGCCUCCCCCUUUCAGUUUGAGGAGAACAGUCCAUCGUCAUAUGACAACAGGAACAUGAGGCAACUGGUGACAGUGGCCUCCGCCCCUGCCCCAUGGCCUCCACUCCUGGCUGUGACCGGCAGACAGAGCUUUAUAGAAAGGUCUCAUGGAAGCAGAUGCUGAAUGCUCAGCCCGCAUCCCCUCAAGACCGGAGAGGGUCCCUCUUCUGCUGCCACACAGAACUACAGUUUUGGAUGAGAUUUUCCUGUUGGAUUUCAGUCAGGCCUUGCCAAUGUGAGGCACUUUUAGAAGGGCAGAAGGUGCUACAGCAAGCAUAUAGGCAAUUAGAAUGGAGGACAAGCCGGGCAUUGGUGGCGCACACCUUUAGUCCCAGCACUCAGGAGGCAGAGGCAGGAGGAUCUCUGUGA
rnacentral:lncRNA from 1 species